GGAGGGACUGUGGCUCAGUGGAAGAACCUCUGGUUUGCAUGCAGAAGGUCCAUCCUAGGUUCAAUUCCUGGCAUCUCCA
rnacentral:tRNA from 1 species